GGUUUCUUCAUGGAUGGCAAGUUCUAUGUCAUUGGGGGUGUGACCAGUGAGGGGCAUUCUCUGACUUGCGGAGAAGAAUACGAUCUUGACACCAGGACAUGGAGAAGAAUACAUGACAUGUACCCUGGAGGAACCAGCGCCUCUCAGUCGCCUCCUCUCAUCGCCGUUGUAAAUAACCAGCUCUACGCGGCCGACCAGUCCACAAACGUGGUGAAGAAGUACGACAAAGCAAGCAACACAUGGAACAUAGUGAAGCCCUUGCCUGUGAGAGCGGACUCUUCCAACGGCUGGGGCCUGGCGUUCAAGGGAUGCGGCGACAGGUUGCUGGUCAUCGGCGGCCAUAGAGGACCUCGCGGCGAGGUGAUACUGCUGCAUUCCUGGUGCCCCGAAGAUGGGAACGGCGUCGCCGACUGGGAGGUGCUGUCGGUGAAGGAGCGUGCCGGCGUCUUCGUCUACAACUGUGCAAUAAUGGGGUGCUGAGUUAGUGCCUUCGGUUCGGUAUAUCCGUAUAUGCCCACUUGUUUAGCAAAACCACCGAUUCGUUGCUGCCAUUUUAGCUG
rnacentral:lncRNA from 1 species